UCCUGAGACAUUACCUGGUUAUAACCUGGUUAUAACCUAGUUAUAUCCUGAGACAUUACCUGGUUAUAACCUGGUUAUAACCUGGUUAUAUCCUGAAACAUUAC